ACAAGCGGUGGAGUAUGUGGUUUAAUUCGAUGCAACGCGAAGAACCUUACCUGGUCUUGACAUCCCGGAGACCCUUAGGAAACUAGGGGGUGCUUCCAUCUGGAAGAAUCUGGAGACAGGUGCUGCAUGGCUGUCGUCAGCUCGUGUCGUGAGAUGUUGGGUUAAGUCCCGCAACGAGCGCAACCCUUGCCUUUAGUUGCCAGCAGUUCGGCUGGGCACUCUAAAGGGACUGCCGGUGUUAAACCGGAGGAAGGUGGGGAUGACGUCAAGUCCUCAUGGCCUUUAUGGCCAGGGCUACACACGUACUACAAUGGCCGAUACAAAGGGCAGCGACACUGCGAGGUGAAGCCAAUCCCGUAAAAUCGGUCUCAGUCCGGAUUGGAGUCUGCAACUCGACUCCAUGAAGUUGGAAUCGCUAGUAAUCGUGGAUCAGCAUGCCACGGUGAAUACGUUCCCGGGCCUU
rnacentral:rRNA from 1 species